UACGUAGGGGGCAAGCGUUGUCCGGAUUUAUUGGGCGUAAAGAGCGUGUAGGCGGCCAUACAGGUCAGCUGUGAAAACUCGAGGCUCAACCUCGAGACGUCGGUUGAAACCGUAUGGCUAGAGUCCGGAAGAGGAGAGUGGAAUUCCCGGUGUAGCGGCGAAAAUGCGCAGAUAUCGGGAAGAACACCUAUGGCGAAGGCAGCUCUCUGGGACGGUACUGACGCUGAGACGCGAAAGCGUGGGGAGCGAAACAGG
rnacentral:rRNA from 1 species